rnacentral:rRNA from 1 species
UCGCACAUCGACCGCGACCCC